rnacentral:rRNA from 1 species
UGAGCAAUCUGCCCUUCUCAUCGGAAUAAGCGUUGGAAACGACGUCUAAUGCCGAAUACGACCUCCUUUCGCAUGAUCGGAGGUGGAAAGCUCCGGCGGAGAAGGAUGAGCUCGCGGCCUAUCAGCUAGUUGGUGUGGUAAUGGCCCACCAAGGCGACGACUGGUAGCCGGCCUGAGAGGGUGACCGGCCACACGUGGGACUGAGAUACCGGCCCAGACUCCGUAGGGAG